rnacentral:rRNA from 1 species
UUUAGGCCCAUGGCAGACGAGGUAGGAACACGUAGGUACGUACCCCAAAGUCGGGCAUAACCGGUCGAAAGAUCGGAUAAUUCUCGAUGGUCUCGCAAGAGUAAAGAUUUAUCGCUUUGGGAACGGCCUGCGGGCUAUCAGCUAGUUGGUGAGGUAAUAGCUCACCAAGGCUACGACGGCUAGGGGAGGUGAGAGCCUGACCCCCACCGGUGGAACUGCGACACGGUCCACACUCCUACGGGAGGCUGCAGUCGAGAAUCUUCCGCAAUGGACGAAAGUCUGACGGAGCGACGCCGCGUGAUGGAUGAAGUCUUUCGGGACGUAAACAUCUUUUAUGAGGGAGGAAGUUUAUUGACGUUACCUCAUGAAUAAGGGGCUCCCAAUUCUGUGCCAGCAGGAGCGGUAAUACAGAAGCCCCGAGCGUUACCCGGAUUUACUGGGCGUAAAGGGUGCGUAGGUGGUUUUGUUAGUCUUUCGUCAAAACUCUGGGCUCAACCCAGAGAUCGCGAAGGAAACGGCAUCACUAGAGGACGUGAGAGGCCACAGGAACUCAUGGUGUAGGGGUGAAAUCCGUUGAUAUCAUGGGGAACACCAAAAGCGAAGGCAUGUGGCUGGCGCGUUCCUGACACUGAAGCACGAAAGCGUAGGUAGCGAACGGGAUUAGAUACCCCGGUAGUCUACGCCCUAAACGUUGUCCGCUAGCUAUUAGGAGUAUCGACCCUCUUAGUGGCGAAGCUAACGCAGUAAGCGGACCGCCUGGGUAGUACGAGCGCAAGCUUAAAACUCAAAGGAAUAGACGGGGGCUCGCACAAGCGGUGGAGCGCGU